rnacentral:rRNA from 1 species
GAGUUUGAUCUUGGCUCAGGAUGAACGCUGGCGGCGUGCUUAACACAUGCAAGUCGAGCGAAGCGCUUAAACGGAUUUCUUCGGAUUGAAGUUUUUGUGACUGAGCGGCGGACGGGUGAGUAACGCGUGGGUAACCUGCCUCAUACAGGGGGAUAACAGUUAGAAAUGGCUGCUAAUACCGCAUAAGCGCACGGUACUGCAUGGUACAGUGUGAAAAACUCCGGUGGUAUGAGAUGGACCCGCGUUGGAUUAGCUAGUUGGCAGGGUAACGGCCUACCAAGGCGACGAUCCAUAGCCGGCCUGAGAGGGUGGACGG